GGGGCUGUAGCUCAUUUGGGAGAGCGUCUGGAUGGCAUUCAGAAGGUAGUCGGUUCAAUCCCGUCCAGCUCCACCA
rnacentral:tRNA from 1 species